AGCGAACGCUGGCGGCAGGCUUAACACAUGCAAGUCGAACGGGCGUAGCAAUAUGUCAGUGGCAGACGGGUGAGUAACGCGUGGGAACGUACCUUUUGGUUCGGAACAACCCAGGGAAACUUGGGCUAAUACCGGAUAAGCCCUUACGGGGAAAGAUUUAUCGCCGAAAGAUCGGCCCGCGUCUGAUUAGCUAGUUGGUGUGGUAACGGCGCACCAAGGCGACAAUCAGUAGCUGGUCUGAGAGGAUGAUCAGCCACAUUGGGACUGAGACACGGCCCAAACUCCUACGGGAGGCAGCAGUGGGGAAUAUUGGACAAUGGGCGCAAGCCCGAUCCAGCCAUGCCGCGUGAGUGAUGAAGGCCCUAGGGUUGUAAAGCUCUUUUGUGCGGGAAGAUAAUGACGGUACCGCAAGAAUAAGCCCCGGCUAACUUCGUGCCAGCAGCCGCGGUAAC
rnacentral:rRNA from 1 species